AACCUCUCGAUCUCCCCAGUCCUAGCGACGCCCACCUCCCCCUGACCCCGCCCCCACCCGGCGUCGCCGCCCGCGCCAACUUCUGGUGAGUCACCGGCCCCGCCCCCUCCCACUCCCGCCCCGCCGGCAAGCCGGGCGCCGCCGCAGCCCCACCCCUGCCGGCGACGCCACCACAGCCCCGACCCCAACCGAUGACGCGCCACACCACCUGCCGGAGCACCUUGGGGUCGCCGGAUCCGGCGAGGAUCCUUCACCACCCUCCACUCUUCGGCGACCACCAGCCCGCGUGCGGAUGGGGUGCUAUCCUGCAGAUCGAGGAGGCGUCAAACUUCAGAUGGAGGAGGCCACAACCUGCAGCUGGCCGCGUGCCAUGGUCAGGCGUCGCCGUCAUCCUCCGUCACGCUGGGCACCUCCUGAGCGUUGGAGUGAAGAGCGAGCACGCUCACCCUGAUCCAAUCUGCAGCAGCACCCCGAGUCCUCCCAAAGCAGCCCAGAGCCGUUCAAGUAUGCAGCCCUGGGCCAUUCAAUGACGGAGCUGCCGACCAUUCGUGAAGACAACACCCUGGAUCCUGCUUGCCCACCAUCAAGUUCAACUUCUGUUGAAUCCUGUAAAGGGAGACUUAUUGUGAGAGCGAUCCCGCAUUAACUUUUUUUCGUUCAAAAUUGUGUUAGCUACUUCCGCUUCAGCUAGCCUGUGUAUGUAGCUACCAAGGUGGCAUGCAUUCAGCCUGUCUGUGUGACCACAUGUCGCGAGGUGCUAUCUAACUGAAACGAUUUAUGUACACUAGGAUCUCCAUGUACUGAACAUGUUAAAAAAGAUAUAUCAUGUAUAUUCUCCUCCUGUUUGUUUCUUGUGGUAUUUCAAGCCGCCACUACCAUUAGCAUUUUUUGUCUGAUGGUCCACGUCUUAUAAGUGUGCACUCUAAAAAAACAGAAUUUUAUGCAAUACUAGCAAACAGUAAGCGAACUUCUCCAUUUACAUUCUCCUAAAGAAGUAUGUAUUUUUUAAAUUAAUCUAGAAGUUCAAAGAUUAUAGUCCAGAGAGCUCAAUCAUUGGAUUUUGGGAAGAAUUCAUCUUACUGAUAAAUAAUGAAUAGAGAAAAAAAAUACAAAAUAGGUUUUGGGUCAGUACUAAAUAGGUUAGGAAUUGUUUGGCGUUGGUGGGGUGUUGGAGCGUUACUACUACUUGGUUCACUUCCAUUUCAAAGGUCUUGCUUGAAGAUAUCUUUGAAGUCAUAACCACAGUUGUCUUGAUUUCAAAUAGCGAUCCAUGGGUUGAGAUAUGAAGCUGAACUUGUUGUUAUGCCUCUAAACAUCUACCUCUUUCCUGUAGGUGUUGAUCCUGGUGCUUGUCACGAUUCACGAGGAAAGAUAGUCGGUCUUUGAACGGUCUGCUGUGUCUGAUUUUCAGCAGGCCAACAUGAUUAAUGCUAGUGCAACUCAUCUUCAAAAGUGUACAUGGACGCAAUGUGGAAUUUGUUCCUGCUGCUGUUGUUUAGAUAGAUCACACUAGAACAUUUUGUACGAACCAUUUAUUCAAGUGAGAGAGAUAGGCUUCUUCGUAGUUCAUCUAUUUCCUGGCAAAAGCAGAAAGUGUAACAACAUUUGUUCCAU